rfam:Triticum aestivum genome assembly, contig: Triticum_aestivum_CS42_TGACv1_scaffold_500087_6BL
UUCAUACUCCCUCCAUCCAAAAAUACUUGUCAUCAAAAUAAAUAAAAGGAGAUGUAUUUAGAUGUAUUUUAUUUCCAGAUACAUUUUUUUUAUCCAUUUUGAUGACAAGUAUUUUCGCACGGAGGGAGUACCUU